rnacentral:tRNA from 1 species
UAGAGGGUAAGUGGUUACUUAUUUUUUGAUUCUAAGUCAAUGGUAUUUUUUAUACUAACCCGCU